GGCCCAAACUUGAAGUAAGGUAGAUUAGUAAGGUCGACUGAUCCUACUAUUCUAUUGUACGUCGAAAAUGGGCCC
rfam:Haemonchus contortus, ISE/inbred ISE, WGS project CAVP01000000 data, contig: Hcontortus_6741